rnacentral:tRNA from 1 species
GCGGUCGUGGCGGAAUUGGCAGACGCGCAAGAUUCAGGUUCUUGUAGUCGCAAGGCUGUGGAGGUUCAAGUCCUCUCGACCGCA